AGCAUAUCAAUAAGCGGAGGAAAAGAANCCAACAGGGAUUGCCUCAGUAACGGCGAGUGAAGCGGCNAACAGCUCAAAUUUGAAAUCUGGCGCCUGCGGCGNUCCGAGUUGUAAUUUGCAGAGGAUGCUUCGGCGUCGGCACCGGUCUAAGUUCCUUGGAACAGGACGUCACAGAGGGUGAGAAUCCCGUACGUGGCUGGCCGCCGUCGCCAUGUGAAGCUCCUUCGACGAGUCGAGUUGUUUGGGAAUGCAGCUCUAAAUGGGAGGUAAAUUUCUUCUAAAGCUAAAUACCGGCCAGAGACCGAUAGCGCACAAGUAGAGUGAUCGAAAGAUGAAAAGCACUUUGGAAAGAGAGUUAAACAGCACGUGAAAUUGUUGAAAGGGAAGCGGUUGCCACCAGACUUGACCGCGGGCGCUCAGCCGGGCUUCUGCCCGGGGCACUCGCCCGCGGCCAGGCCAGCAUCAGUUCGGGCGGUCGGAGAAAGGCCUCGGGAAUGUGGCUCCCCUCGGGGAGUGUUAUAGCCCGGGGCGCAAUGCGGCCAGCCCGGACUGAGGUCCGCGCUUCGGCUAGGAUGCUGGCGUAAUGGUUGCAACCGGCCCGUCUUGAAACACGGACCAAGGAGUCUAACAUCUAUGCGAGUGUUUGGGUGUCAAACCCAUGCGCGUAAUGAAAGUGAACGGAGGUGGGAGCCGCAAGGCGCACCAUCGACCGAUCCUGAUGUCUUCGGAUGGAUUUGAGUAUGAGCAUGGCUGUUGGGACCCGAAAGAUGGUGAACUAUGCCUGAAUAGGGUGAAGCCAGAGGAAACUCUGGUGGAGGCUCGCAGCGGUUCUGACGUGCAAAUCGAUCGUCAAAUUUGGGUAUAGGGGCGAAANACUAAUCGAACCAUC
rnacentral:rRNA from 1 species